UAAAUCCAGGGACCUUCGGAAUUUUAUCUUUAGAGAUUGCUCUCGAAAAUACCCAGAGUCUUGCACAAUAUCAACAGGCUGGAUCUGCCCAGAAAAAGAGUUCACUUCCAAACCACCCUGAGGAUUGUCCAUAUAUAAGGUGUGCACAAUGAUUUGUUCCGGUGAUGCUGGAGAUGAGUUUGAUGGAAGCGUCACUGCUUGGUUAGAAGUUAGUGUUAAUGGAAGACUUUGGCUGGAACCUGUCUGAAGAAUGAAGGUUCCUGUGGUCCCACUUGGCUGUAAGUAGAAUGACUAAAGACAAAGAAGAUUAUUCAGAUCUUCCAGAUGUAGAUUUAUUUUUUACCAAUAUGAAAGAACACAGUUUACCUUUUAUUGUGUUUCUUGUAUGUUUUGUGAAAAUGUUAGGAAAUAAUGAAUAAGGGUGAUUUUUUUAGGCUUCAGGACAAAGACCGUUAGGUGUCUUUGGUUACAUUUUGAGCUGCAUCAGAGGGACACGGCUCCUGCACAAAUUGUCGAGUGCAAAAAAAUGUUCUAUGUAUAUCCAUACUUUCAUUAAUGUACCAGAUGCCACCGCUUGGUACUGGGUUAUUUCCCCUACUCUGUUAAGAAAUUAGAGAGAAUGUUUUGCAGCAGGAUGUUUUUGUAUAGCAUUUACACAGUUGCACCAGCACAAUUCCUUUUUGUGACCUGAGUCUCAGUCUGGGCAUGCUUGAUAAAGAUACAUUUUAAACUAAAUAACAUCAGGGUUUUAUUAAAAUAGAUCAGCAAAAGAACAGAAAAAGACGCACGCAUACUUACAGGAAGGAUUUCAAAUGUCUGUAGUGUGCCACAGUUUAGUGCUAUGGUUUCUGUGUCAGUCGAAGGAGAGGCUGGAGCAGAAGAGGCUAUAAUUGACAAAAACUGCUUAUUAUAGCAGAUAGUGGCUUAGAAUGACAUUUUAUCAUGGGCAACAUUCAUUUUCAUCAUUUACACUACAUGUUUAUGAUGAAGGGAGCAACCGCCUGAAACGCAUCAGGCCCAUAACGCCACGGUGCUUUUUAACAUUGACAAAUAAAGUGAUGCGGUUCUCUGAUUUUCUUUUCGCAUAUCAUUUACACCACUAAGGCAUAUUUUAAAAAAGGCUAAAUUUAAAGGGAUGGCUCACCUUCCUGUUAACUUGUAAUAUAUUUAAUAUAUUAUAGAAUGGCCGAUUCUAAGCAACUUCUCAAUUUGGCCUUCAUUUUU